GUGGGGAAUAUUGCACAAUGGGGGAAACCCUGAUGCAGCAACGCCACGUGUGGGAAGAAGCAUUUCGGUGUGUAAACCACUGUCAUGAGGGAAUAAGGCCUGUCUUCGGGCAGGAUUGAAUGUACCUUGAGAGGAAGCACCGGCAAACUUCGUGCCAGCAGCCGCGGUAAUACGAGGGGUGCAAGCGUUGUUCGGAAUUACUGGGCGUAAAGGGAGCGUAGGCGGAGAUUCAAGCGGAUUGUACAAUCCCGGGGCCCAACCCCGGCUCUGCAGUCCGAACUGGAUCUCUUGGAUAGUUCAGGGGCAGGCGGAAUUCCUGGUGUAGCGGUGGAAUGCGUAGAGAUCAGGAAGAACACCGAUGGCGAAGGCAGCCUGCUGGGGACUUAUCGACGCUGAGGCUCGAAAGUGCGGGUAGCAAACAGG
rnacentral:rRNA from 1 species